UACGUAGGGGGCAAGCGUUGUCCGGAUUUAUUGGGCGUAAAGAGCGCGUAGGCGGCCAGGUAGGUCUGCUGUGAAAACUCGAGGCUUAACCUCGAGCUGUCGGCCGAAACCAGCUGGCUAGAGUCCGGAAGAGGAGAAUGGAAUUCCCGGUGUAGCGGUGAAAUGCGCAGAUAUCGGGAAGAACACCCGUGGCGAAGGCGGUUCUCUGGGACGGGACUGACGCUGAGACGCGAAAGCGUGGGGAGCGAACAGG
rnacentral:rRNA from 1 species